rnacentral:rRNA from 1 species
CCUACGGGGGGCAGCAGUGGGGGAUAUUGCACAAUGGGGGCAACCCUGAUGCAGCGACGCCGCGUGGGUGAAGGAGCGUUUCGGCGCGUAAAGCCCUAUCGGCAGGGAAGCAGAUGACGGUACCCGACCAAUAAGCCCCGGCUAACUACGUGCCAGCAGCCGCGGUAAUACGGAGGGGGCAAGCGUUAUCCGGAUUUACGGGGUGUAAAGGGGGCUCAGACGGCAAUGCAAGCCAGGAGUGAAAGCCCCGGGCCCAACCCCGGGAGUGCUCUUGGAACUGCAUGGCUGGAGUAAGGGAGGAGCAGGCGGAAUGCCUGGUGUAGCGGUGAAAUGCGUAGAUAUUAGGCGGAACACCGGUGGCGAAGGCGGCCUGCUGGACUGUGACUGACGUUGAGGCACGAAGGCGUGGGGAGCAAACAGGAUUAGAUACCCGAGUAGUC